UUGUUCAUCGAUACCGCCCUCGGGAUUGGGCCGCUGACUCUUAAUCAGCGGGUCCCAGGUUCGAGCCCUGGUGCGCGCACCA
rnacentral:tRNA from 1 species